CGGGAUGUAGCGCAGUUGGUAGCGCGCGUCGUUCGGGACGACGAGGCCGAGAGUUCAAAUCUCUCCAUCCCGA
rnacentral:tRNA from 1 species